rnacentral:tRNA from 1 species
GUAGUCGUGGCCGAGUGGUUAAGGCGACAGACUUGAAAUCUGUUGGGAUAUUCCCGCGCAGGUUCGAAUCCUGCCGAUUACG